GAUGAACGCUAGCUACAGGCUUAACACAUGCAAGUCGAGGGACCGGCGCACGGGUGAGUAACACGUAUCCCACCUGCCCUUUACUCGGGGAUAGCCUUUCGAAAGAAAGAUUAAUACACAAUAUAAAGGAUGGGGAUGCGUUCCAUUAGGUUGUUGGUGAGGUAACGGCUCACCAAGCCUUCGAUGGCUAGGGGUUCUGAGUGGAAGGCCCCCCACAACGGAACUGCGACACGGUCCAAACUCGUAGGGAAGGCAGCGGAGAGGAAUAUUGGUGAAUGGGGGCUAGCCUGAACCAGCCAAGUAGCGGGAAGAAUGAAGGCUUAUGGGUCGUAAACUUCUGUGAUAUAAGAAUAUUUAUUAUAUGAAUAAGGAUCGGCUAACUCCGUGCCAGCAGCCGCGGUAAUAC
rnacentral:rRNA from 1 species